GGUAGUCUCCUUUGGAAAUGGGGCUUUUGGUGGUAUACUGUCUUAUUUGAACAGAGUGCCUCUGGGGUUUUAAACUUCCCUGGCCUUUAUUUCAUAAGGUGGAAGAGGCUAUUGGGGCCAUUAUAUCUAUUCAAGUCACUUAAUCUGAGCCUCAGUUUCCUCAUCUAUAAUCUGGCAUUAAUAACUACUUCACAGAGGGCCAUUAUGAGGACUGAAUAAAGUAAUGUAUAUGAAGCACUUUAUAAACCUUACAAGAGCAAUAUAAAUGUAAAUCAUUAUUACCAUAGAUGUGUUAUUCUAGAACUAGAAUCAAUGUCACAAACUGAAAGAACUAUGGAAGCUCUUUCAGUAAAGGGUCACAUAUUUAAUUCUCAGUCAAGGCUGAGCUGAGAAAAGGGGCUGGCUGCUGGAGCAAAGCCAUGCAGAGAGUGCCAAGGAAUCUUUCCCUCUUGCCAAAAUGGUCUUUGGCUUAGGAUAACAGAGAUAAGCCAGAGAAAGACAUCGUGGAAACAGCUGAUGAUGUGUCUUAGAAUACUUAGACAAGUAUAGGGAAGAAAAGUGGGAGAUAGGAGGCUAGAUGAAUGCUGCCUGAAAGAGAGUUCAAGCUUUAUUAAAUUUGUUGGCAAGGAAGGUGUUGGCCAUGGAAAAAAAAGAGGCAGAGGGAGAAAAGGAAUAAAUUAAUAGCAACUCUGAAAGGUAGCCCAUUCAUAUAAAUAUGUGGCAGAAGCAACUGUAAGAACCAGGCACCUCAGAAAAUAAAAGUUCUCUCAGAGCAACAGAGAGAUAGAUCAAGACCACUUUUUCCUGUCUUGCCAAACAAAUCAAGAACAGUAGCUGGAAAGGAUUGAAGAGAACAUUAAUUCAAAUAACUCAUUUUACAGAUUGAGAAGCUUGAGGUAGAGAGGAAUGUGGGACCUGAAUCUCGUUUUUAAUAUUUAACUAGCUGAAGGACUGAAGACAAACCACUUAAGCCCUGGCAGUAUGUAUUUUCUGAAAGGUAAGAUGUAAAUAGAUAAUGGAUACCUAUAGUUUUUAAGUCACAGGACUGUUAGAUGUAACCCGUUGCUCAGAACAAAGUUCUGGAUUCACACAAAUUAGAUCCAAUUAUAAAGGCUUCUAAACAGCUUGAUGACAUGCCUUCAUCUAGGGUUUUUCCUGGGAAGAUCAGAACUUAGCUCAUGUCUAAGCUUUCCCCCAGAAAAGGAAAA